rnacentral:rRNA from 1 species
UGAGGAAUAUUGGUCAAUGGUCGCAAGACUGAACCAGCCAUGCCGCGUGCAGGGAGACGGUCCUAUGGAUUGUAAACUGCUUUUAUACAGGAAGAAACCCUCCCACGUGUGGGAGCUUGACGGUACUGUAGGAAUAAGGAUCGGCUAACUCCGUGCCAGCAGCCGCGGUAAUACGGAGGAUCCAAGCGUUAUCCGGAAUCAUUGGGUUUAAAGGGUCCGUAGGCGGUCUUAUAAGUCAGUGGUGAAAGCCCAUCGCUCAACGAUGGAACUGCCAUUGAUACUGUAAGACUUGAAUGCUUAGGAAGUAACUAGAAUAUGUAGUGUAGCGGUGAAAUGCUUAGAUAUUACAUGGAAUACCAAUUGCGAAGGCAGGUUACUACUAAGUGAUUGACGCUGAUGGACGAAAGCGUGGGGAGCGAACAGAAUUAGAUACCCUGGUAGUCCACGCCGUAAACGAUGGAUACUAGCUGUUCGGCGCAAGUUGAGUGGCUAAGCGAAAGUGAUAAGUAUCCCACCUGGGGAGUACGCACGCAAGUGUGAAACUCAAAGGAAUUGACGGGGUCAUAGCUGUUUCCUG